AAUCAAGCGCGAGAAGGGCGUUUGGUGGAUGCCUUGGCAGUAAGAGGCGAUGAAAGACGUGAUACUCUGCGAUAAGCCAUGGGGAGCUGAGAAUAAGCUUUGAUCCAUGGAUUUCUGAAUGGGGCAACCCACCUGAUAUUCUGUUAUUGUUACCCGCAAGGGUGAUCAAUAAUGGGGUAAAACAGGUACUUAUAGACUGAAUACAUAGGUUUAUAAGAGCAAACCCGGGGAACUGAAACAUCUAAGUACCCGGAGGAAAGGAAAUCAAUUGAUACUCCCCUAGUAGCGGCGAGCGAACGGGGACCAGCCGAGCCUUGAGAGUGACCAGAAUGCGUUGGAAAACGCGACCAUAGUGGGUGACAGUCCCGUAUGGGUAGCUCGAUAGGACGUAUUAAGUAGGGCGGAACACGUGAAAUUCUGUCUGAAGAUCGGAGGACCACCUUCGAAGGCUAAGUACUCCUUACUGACCGAUAGCGAACCAGUACCGUGAGGGAAAGGUGAAAAGCACCCCGACGAGGGGAGUGAAACAGUACCUGAAACCGAACGCCUACAAUCAGUCGGAGCUUGACUGGACUCUAAUGACAAUCGUGAUUGUCUGUUGUACGCCCCCUAGGGAAACCUAGGAGAGUGGAAUGGACGGAACAUUUGCAGUGCUAUUUCUGUUGGCUGGUCUGACAGAUAUGAGCGUGAACUAUUGUGGAGAUGGAUGCCUUGCUGAGCGUGAUGUUCAGAAGAGGUUCUCGAUCUCUGCUGGCGAUGUUCAGUUCCAGGACAACAGUAUCGCAAGUGAGGUUUACGCCCGCUACGAGCUUGCUCGCAGCUAUGGGCCGUUCCAACCCACUUUCGGUGUGUCCGUAACCGACGAAGGCUCUGCCUGGGUCGGGUUCGGAGCAACAUACACGGGUAAAUUUGCGCGGGAUCGCGGCUAUGUACAGCUGCACCUGAUGCCGGGGCUUUAUGCCCGUGGCAGUGGCCCUGAUCUGGGCUUUCCGAUCGAGUUUCGAUCGGGGGCAGAGAUCGGCUAUGAAGCGCGAAACGGGAUACGUGUCGGGAUAUCCUACGACCAUCGGUCGAAUGCGGAUAUCAAGAGCGUGAACCCCGGUCUUGAAACCAUUCAACUGCGCGUCAGCGUGCCGUUGAAUUAGGUUGUCAUUAGUGUCCAGUCUUGUGACGGCGUACCUUUUGUAUAAUGGGUCAUCGACUUGGUCUCACGAGCAAGCUUAAGCCGAUAGGUGUAGGCGUAGCGAAAGCGAGUCUUAAUAGGGCGAAUGAGUUCGUGGGAUCAGACCCGAAACCGAGUGAUCUAGGCAUGGCCAGGUUGAAGGUUAGGUAACACUAACUGGAGGACCGAACCCACAUCCGUUGAAAAGGAUCGGGAUGAGCUGUGCCUAGGGGUGAAAGGCCAAUCAAACUCGGAGAUAGCUGGUUCUCUGCGAAAUCUAUUUAGGUAGAGCGUCAUCCGAAUACCCCGGGGGGUAGAGCACUGGAUGGGUAAUGGGGCCUUACCGGCUUACUGAUCCUAACCAAACUCCGAAUACCCGGGAGUACUAGAUGGCAGACACACGGCGAAUGCUAACGUCCGUCGUGAAGAGGGAAACAACCCUGACCUACAGCUAAGGCCCCCAAUUCAUGGCUAAGUGGGAAAGCAGGUGGGACGACCAAAACAACCAGGAGGUUGGCUUAGAAGCAGCCAUCCUUUAAAGAUAGCGUAACAGCUCACUGGUCUAAAUAAGUUGUCCUGCGGCGAAGAUGUAACGGGGCUCAAGCCAUGAGCCGAAGCUUAGGAUGCCGUAAGGCAUGGUAGCAGAGCGUAGUGUGACAUAGUAUCUAUCCUCUUUAGCCUUCUUCGGAAGGUCAUGGAGGACAUGAUGCUUUCUGUGAAGCCGGCCUGUGAGGGAUCCGGUGGAGAGAUCACUAGUGAGAAUGAUGACAUGAGUAGCGACAAACAGGGUGAGAGACCCUGUCGCCGAAAGUCCAAGGGUUCCUGCUUAAAGCUAAUCUGAGCAGGGUAAGCCGACCCCUAAGGCGAGGCCGAAAGGCGUAGUCGAUGGGAACCAGGUUAAUAUUCCUGGGCCAGUAAGAAGUGACGGAUCUCGAAGGUAGUUCAUCCUUAUCGGAUUGAAUGGGCUGCUUAGAGGUUCCUGGAAAUAGCUCUUACAUAAGAUCGUACCCUAAACCGACACAGGUGGACUGGUAGAGAAUACCAAGGCGCUUGAGAGAACUAUGUUGAAGGAACUCGGCAAAAUACCUCCGUAAGUUCGCGAGAAGGAGGCCCGGUUUCUAGGCAACUAGAGGCUGGGGGCACAAACCAGGGGGUGGCGACUGUUUACUAAAAACACAGGGCUCUGCGAAGUCGCAAGACGACGUAUAGGGUCUGACGCCUGCCCGGUGCCGGAAGGUUAAAAGGAGAGGUGAGAGCUUUGAAUUGAAGCCCCGGUAAACGGCGGCCGUAACUAUAACGGUCCUAAGGUAGCGAAAUUCCUUGUCGGGUAAGUUCCGACCUGCACGAAUGGCGUAACGACUUCCCCGCUGUCUCCAACAUAGACUCAGCGAAAUUGAAUUGCCUGUCAAGAUGCAGGCUUCCCGCGGUUAGACGGAAAGACCCCGUGCACCUUUACUACAGCUUCACACUGGCAUCAGGCCAAGCAUGUGCAGGAUAGGUGGUAGACUUUGAAGCAGGGACGCUAGUCCUUGUGGAGUCAUCCUUGAGAUACCACCCUUGCUUUGCUUGAUGUCUAACCGCGGUCCGUUAUCCGGAUCCGGGACCCUGUGUGGCGGGUAGUUUGACUGGGGCGGUCGCCUCCUAAAGAGUAACGGAGGCGCGCGAAGGUUGGCUCAGACCGGUCGGAAAUCGGUCGUUGAGUGCAAUGGCAGAAGCCAGCCUGACUGCGAGACUGACAAGUCGAGCAGAGACGAAAGUCGGUCAUAGUGAUCCGGUGGUCCCAAGUGGGAGGGCCAUCGCUCAACGGAUAAAAGGUACGCCGGGGAUAACAGGCUGAUACUGCCCAAGAGUCCAUAUCGACGGCAGUGUUUGGCACCUCGAUGUCGGCUCAUCUCAUCCUGGGGCUGGAGCAGGUCCCAAGGGUACGGCUGUUCGCCGUUUAAAGAGGUACGUGAGCUGGGUUUAGAACGUCGUGAGACAGUUCGGUCCCUAUCUGCCGUGGGUGUAGGAUACUUGAGAGGAGUUGCCCCUAGUACGAGAGGACCGGGGUGAACGAUCCACUGGUGUACCAGUUGUUCCGCCAGGAGCAGUGCUGGGUAGCUAUGAUCGGACAGGAUAACCGCUGAAGGCAUCUAAGCGGGAAGCCCCCCUCAAAACAAGGUAUCCCUGAGGGCCGAGGUAGACCACCUCGUCGAUAGGCCGGAGAUGUAAGUGCAGUAAUGCAUUCAGUUGACCGGUACUAAUUGCCCGAUAGGCUUGAUUUG
rfam:Litorimicrobium taeanense strain DSM 22007 genome assembly, contig: Ga0070518_102